rnacentral:rRNA from 1 species
CGGAUGAACGCUAGCGGCAGGCUUAACACAUGCAAGUCGAGGGGUAUAGGUUUUCGGACCUAGAGACCGGCGCACGGGUGCGUAACGCGUAUGCAAUCUACCUUUCACAGAGGGAUAGCCCAGAGAAAUUUGGAUUAAUACCUCAUAGUAUUAUAGAAUGGCAUCAUUUUAUAAUUAAAGUCACAACGGUGAAAGAUGAGCAUGCGUCCCAUUAGCUAGUUGGUAUGGUAACGGCAUACCAAGGCAACGAUGGGUAGGGGUCCUGAGAGGGAGAUCCCCCACACUGGUACUGAGACACGGACCAGACUCCUACGGGAGGCAGCAGUGAGGAAUAUUGGUCAAUGGGCGCAAGCCUGAACCAGCCAUGCCGCGUGCAGGAUGACGGUCCUAUGGAUUGUAAACUGCUUUUGCACAGGAAGAAACAACGCUACGUGUAGCGUCUUGACGGUACUGUGAGAAUAAGGAUCGGCUAACUCCGUG